UACGUAGGGUGCGGGCGUUAAUCGGAAUUACUGGGCGUAAAGCGUGCGCAGGCGGUUUGUUAAGACAGGUGUGAAAUCCCCGGGCUUAACCUGGGAAUUGCGCUUGUAACUGGCAGGCUAGAGUGUGGCAGAGGGGGGUGGAAUUCCACGUGUAGCAGUGAAAUGCGUAGAUAUGUGGAGGAAUACCGAUGGCGAAGGCAGCCCCCUGGGCUAACACUGACGCUCAUGCACGAAAGCGUGGGGAGCAAACAGGAUUAGAUACCCUGGUAGUCCACGCCCUAAACUAUGUCAACUGGUUGUCGGGAAAGAAAUUUCUUGGUAACGAAGCUAACGCGUGAAGUUGACCGCCUGGGGAGUACGGCCGCAAGGUUAAAACUCAAAGGAAUUGACGGGGACCCGCACAAGCGGUGGAUUAUGUGGAUUAAUUCGAUGCAACGCGAAAAACCUUACCUACCCUUGACAUGUACGGAAUCCCGCAGAGAUGUGGGAGUGCCCGAAAGGGAGCCGUAACACAGGUGCUGCAUGGCUGUCGUCAGCUCGUGUCGUGAGAUGUUGGGUUAAGUCCCGCAACGAGCGCAACCCUUGCCAUUAGUUGCUACAUUCAGUUGAGCACUCUAAUGGGACUGCCGGUGACAAACCGGAGGAAGGUGGGGAUGACGUCAAGUCCUCAUGGCCCUUAUGGGUAGGGCUUCACACGUAAUACAAUGGUCGGUACAGAGGGUUGCCAACCCGCGAGGGGGAGCUAAUCCCAGAAAGCCGAUCGUAGUCCGGAUUGUAGUCUGCAACUCGACUGCAUGAAGCCGGAAUCGCUAGUAAUCGCGGAUCAGCAUGUCGCGGUGAAUACGUUCCCGGGUCU
rnacentral:rRNA from 1 species